AAAAAAAAAAAAGACUUCUCAUUCUAUUAGCCUCUUUGUGUUUUGUUGCGAUUCUUUCGAUUUCUUGGCUUUUUCUGUACAUACCGAGGGCUUUUAAGAUGCAUCAGCUGUUUCUUUUCAUCCCUUCUUAAGAUCCGGUUUUCUAAGACUUCCUUCCAGUGCUGCACAGUGUAUAAUGUUUGAAGCUGUCCCUCAGAAAAUAGUCUAAUUUAACAACUUACCUGUUUGAUUGUUUGUUGGAAAGAAAAUGUACUAUGUGCUGCCUGUAUAUUGUAUAUAAUUGUAAAACGCAUCAAAAAGAUCAAAUCAAAUAAAACCCCCGUUUGAAGACCUGUGACGCUCAGUUAGGGGUGUGAUGUGCACAUGAUCUUGAGUUUGCUUUGUUUUAACUAGAUGUGUGGUGGAUCGCAGUCAUGUACUACUGAAAGAAUGAAAUGCUGCGUAUGGAUGUAAUUUCUCCUUUUAAUAUGGUGGCCUGCAGCUGAUUUUUUUCCUCUUCUCUCAUGUACUCUAUUAUACAUAAUAAUGCAAUUUAAAGGGAUAGCUCACCCAACAAAAAAUUCUGUCAUUUAUCUCGCCCUCAUGUCGUUCCAAACCUGUAUCACUGACUUUAUUCUGUAGAACACAAAAGAAGAUAUUUUGAAGAAUGUGUGGGCAGUUUUUGUCCAUAUCAAGACUAGACUCCAUUGAUUUUUAUUAUAUGGAGACAUUUUUCAAUUUUAACAUCUUUUGUGCUACAGGUUUGGAAUAACCUGAACCGUCUUCAGACCUCUUUAUAGUAACAUUGCUAUAUUGAGGAAAGCUUAAAAACCAAAGUUUAAAGUUACAGUUUUCCUAUAAACCACAUCAAUGCAGUUUAGGCUCAUGCAUAUUCCCAAACAGUACUUUUUUUUUUUUUUUUUGAGGUCACGUGCUGUUUCAAAAUCACACUUUCUGAAUCUGCUGCUUCUUACACUAAGAUAUUUGCCGACUGAAGAGGGCGAAACGGCCAUCUGUGAACUUGCCACAUCUCUCAGCAAGAUUUCUCACACCGAAUUGAUUUUUUUUUUUCAGCCGCAUGUGAAAAAAGCAAUGCAAAAAUUAGUCAUUUCUACUCUUUAUGUAAACUUCCUAAAGUAAUGCAAGCUAAGUUCGAAUUCUCAAGUCACAAGUUCACACUAUAUCUUGCGAUACAUGCACAGACCUUUGUACAUUUGGAAAUAUAAUGUUGAUUCUCCAAUUAAUCUUCAUUAGGAAGCAGAUUUUCUUUCGGUCAGUCAGGGGGGAUUGAGCAUCAUUUGUUUGGGUGUAACUGCUUGACCAGGUGGACGUUGUAUCACUUGCUUGGAUGAUUGCCUUCUCCAUCAGAAUCCCUUUGUAAUCUGUAAAGGUAUCGGUUGUUUCUGAAGUGUAUCUAUACAUGUGCCCCAUGCAUCUCAGAUAUUUUACACUUGCUAUUCAACACAUCUGAACUUGUGCAGGAGGGGAGCACGACCCCAGUGAGUCUGACAUGCUGAACUGAAUCACAGUCCCAUGUCCUCGAGGAACGAGUGUUGGACUGAGUUCAUGAUGAUGGAUGAAAAUAACAUGGGAUAUUUUAGACUUAUGCUGUGUAUUAUUGUCUUUGGGUUGGAGAAAAUGAUCAAAUGAAAUAAUAAAAACAGUCAAACUUGAUGUUUGUUGUGUUGUGUUUUGGAAAUAAGUGGUUUUCUUCAUUUGUAACUGAACGGAGUCUGUGAAAAAACAGAUUUAGUCUGCUGUCACCCUCUUGUGUUAAAACUUAGAAACUGCAAAUUCUUCCCCCUUCAAUUUCUUUUAAAAAUGUCCUCCAACCAGAAUAAAAAAUGAAGCUUGCAAAGGAAAAGUUCACCCUAAAAUGAAAAUUUGCUGUAAAUGUACUCUUCCUCACGCGAUCCAAGAUGUAGAUGAGUUUCUUUUUUCAUCAGAUUUGGAAAAAUGUAGCAUUAAAUCACUUGCUCACCAGUGGAUGCUCUGCAGUGAAUGGGUGCCCUCAGAAUGAAAGUCCAAACAGCUGAUAAAAACAUCACAAUGAUCCACAAGUAAUCCACACCACUCCAGUCCAUCAGUUAAUGUCUUGUGAAGUGAAAAGCUGUGUUUGUAAGAAACAAAUCCAUCAUUAAGAUGUUUUUAUUUUCUAUUUAAACCCUCACUUCUGACGAAAAUAAUGAUGAUAAUUUAAUGCAUUUAUUCAUGUUUUAUUUCUUAGAUCUGAUCAAAGUAUCAAUAAAACCUGAUCCUUUUUGACUGUAAAGGUCUCUCGACCUCGAACAGAUUGUGAAGGUUAAUAAAAUGAACUUUGACACCUCAGUGAAGACCUUCUUUAUCUGCAGGGAUGAGACGCAGGAAAUGUUUUAUCACUGAUUGCAAAAUGUUAUAUUGCAGUUAUGAUGUGAUCCCAUGCCUGUCUCCAUCUCAGCAUUUGUACUCAAGUUGCAUUACAUUUUGAAAGGUGUUCAGCUAAAUUUGUCCACUAGCAACAUCCAACACACAGUCAUCAAUAUCACAGCUUUGUUUGUUAACUUUGCCAAGAGACAGCUAUUAUAAAUCAAAAUUAAUUAUUAGUAUUUUAGAUUAGAUAAGAUUAAAAGUCUGGGUCUAGGGUAAAACUAAAUUUAUACAGUCUAUACAAUCUAUAUAGUUCCCAAGACCGUUUUAAUGUCAUAUACAACAAAAAGAAAAGCUGUUAGUAAUAAAUGUCAAUCCUGGGAACAUAAAUUUUUAUGUAUUUAUUAUCAAACGCCUCAUUUCUUCCUUGUCUUCUUUCAUACUUAACCUAGUUUUGUUUACCAUCACAGACAUUAUGCAUUAUAUUUUUCUAAAACAUCAGACUUCAAUCCCAGUAUGACUACUAAAUGUAUGUUCAGUUUACAGUUUAACUGCUUCAAAACACAUUGCACAAGAAGAGCUAGUCAUUCCAGUUUUGGUGCCAGAGGUCAGUGAUUGUUGAUAAGAGUGAAUGACUCCAAAUCUCACUAGAUUUACAGACCUGAUGUUCUUUCACCAGUGCUGACUGCUGAUGGAGGAGGAAGUGUCGUUUUUAUUUUUAUCAGAAACCCUAUUGGUUACCUAAAGGAAAUGGUAGAUAUUAUUUAUUUAUUUAUUUUUUUCUGAAGAGCUGCAUUCUCAGUAAAUGUGCAGCCUGUGUUGAAUUCUGAAUUAAAUGGGAUUGAUAGAAAUUUGUGAACCAUUUCAAAUCACGAGUUUUAGAUUAAGUAUGCUCAUGAAUAAUUCAGCAACGGAGGUAUAGGAAAUGGGCGUGGUUCAAUGAAUAAUAAUUAGCGCCGCCCCCUCAUGUUUAUUAAUUGGGUUUAUUUGACAGCCGUGCGCUUCAGUCCCACGAUGGCGUCUCAUCAAAUCAGGAUGGGCUUUUUCUACCGCCUUCUGUACCGGAAUUUAUCUGUCUCCAGUUGUUAUCUUACAUCUUGAUUUCUGUGCUCAAAGACGUCAAAUGUAGGCUAAAUGAAGGACGAGGAAAGCACAGCGCGGUCGCUCCAGAGCGCCGACACGGAGCGGAGAAAUGCAGCCGAUGUGGAGGAUGUCCGUGCGGGCAGCGGAGCGCCGCUCAUCCCGGUGCUGCAUGAAGCGGGAUCCGACCGAGCCCCCGCACCGACAGCCCGAGCGGGAACGGGAAUACGCGUUUUAAAGGUACCAGAUCCAGCUCCGUUUAGGUCGCAGCGUUGCUGUUAAGCAGCAGGGCCAAAGUAGCUACGUGUGAAUCCGUGAACUGCAUCAGCAAUUAUCUGUUUAACACUUCCACCCGCCGCCGUGGUCCCUACCUAGACAGCAUACUUGGUCGCGUUCCGCGUCUGUGAGCUGAUCGGGCUCGCAACGCGCCUGUGACGCCCGAUGCUGCUGUCUAUGUAGGCGGUUCAUUCGGUUUUGUGACACAGCCUGUGAUAGUAGAUGGAUCAUAAUGGCAUCUAACGUUAAUUGUAUUCAUGUCGCUUCUCCCUGUUAGUUUGUGGGCUGUAUCAGAACAGUUCCAGUGUAACGCCUGUAACCUGUUAGUUUGCGUUCUGGCUAUUUUUGUAAUUUGCUAUUUCUGUCUCUGUACACCGGCAUCAGAUCGUUGCGCCCUGUUGACAUUAAGUGUCAACUGAAAAAGUUGUCUAGUUUUUGAGAACGCGUCUUGAGUAUGGCAAGCCGCUUUAACAUAUAUUCCUUAAAACUAAAGGCCUACAUUUAAAACUGCUGUGAUUCGUUGUGUGAGUCGUUCAAACUGCAAACUGGUGCGUUUCUAAUUUUCAAACUGUAAAAACUGUACUUGCAGAUAAUAUAAUAUUAAUGAAAUAAAAGGCUACAUAAGUGUACUUAGAACACGGAUUCAUGAGUUUGUUUCUUAACGCAUAGAAGUACACUUAAGACUUUAAAGAACAUUUUACGUCAUUGUUCCUCAACAGGCGGAGAGAAAAAUGUUUGGCCCACGCUAAUUUCAAAUAAUGCUGCAUGAAAAUUCAAACGCAGCAUCAGAAAGCGACAUUAACUUACAUCGUGUCUAAUAUUCAAACUCACAUUAAACACUUUUAACACUGAAUAAAGCACAUAAUCAUUACCUAAGAUUAUCACUGUCAUAUUUUGUAUGUUGUUCCUGGCGUGAC
rnacentral:lncRNA from 1 species